rnacentral:rRNA from 1 species
UGAGGAAUAUUGGGCAAUGCCCGAAAGGGUGACCCAGCAACGCCGCGUGGAGGAUGAAGGUCGUAAGAUUGUAAACUCCUGUUAGAGGGGAAGAAUAACUAAGUUUGGAGCUUAGUAUGACUGUACCCUCAGAGAAAGCCCCGGCUAACUACGUGCCAGCAGCCGCGGUAAUACGUAGGGGGCAAGCGUUGUCCGGAUUUACUGGGUGUAAAGGGCGCGCAGGCGGAAUGGAAAGUCAGUGGUGAAAUCCUACAGCUUAACUGUAGAGCUGCCUUUGAUACCUUCAUUCUUGAGUUCGGGAGAGAGAGACGGAAUUCCAGGUGUAGUGGUGAAAUACGUAGAUAUCCGGAAGAACACCAGUUGCGAAGGCGGUCUCUUGGUCCGAUACUGACGCUGAGGCGCGAAAGCGUGGGGAGCAAACAG